AGGAUAAUAGUUAAAUUAACAUUUAAUUUGCAUUUAAAAAAUACUGUUUUUCAGUUUAUCUU
rnacentral:tRNA from 1 species